GAUGAACGCUAGCUACAGGCUUAACACAUGCAAGUCGAGGGGCAGCAUGGUCUUAGCUUGCUAAGGCCGAUGGCGACCGGCGCACGGGUGAGUAACACGUAUCCAACCUGCCGUCUACUCUUGGACAGCCUUCUGAAAGGAAGAUUAAUACAAGAUGGCAUCAUGAGUCCGCAUGUUCACAUGAUUAAAGGUAUUCCGGUAGACGAUGGGGAUGCGUUCCAUUAGAUAGUAGGCGGGGUAACGGCCCACCUAGUCUUCGAUGGAUAGGGGUUCUGAGAGGAAGGUCCCCCACAUUGGAACUGAGACACGGUCCAAAAUCCUACGGGAGGCAGCAGUGAGGAAUAUUGGUCAAUGGGCGAGAGCCUGAACCAGCCAAGUAGCGUGAAGGAUGACUGCCCUAUGGGUUGUAAACUUCUUUUAUAAAGGAAUAAAGUCGGGUAUGGAUACCCGUUUGCAUGUACUUUAUGAAUAAGGAUCGGCUAACUCCGUG
rnacentral:rRNA from 1 species